ensembl:scaRNA
GGUCAAUGAUGAUUGGUAAAAGGUCUGAUUGCACUGAAUGUCACAGCCCCUUCUUCCUUGCCCUCAGCUCCCAGCAGCCCCCUUCUUUCCUAGCACAUUUAAGUAACAUGUAUGGGAUAAUGGGGCAGCUGAUAAUUUAGGAUUCUGUCAGUGUGUGUUCCAAGAGUCAGUGGUUCACAGUUGACUAGUAUCCAACAACACCAGUUACACAGGAGUCUUGAUGAGUGGCUGGAUGGGUAUGACAGUGCAUGAUCUCAAGUUUUCAAUCUGAGACC